GUGUAAAGGCAUAAGGGAGCUUGACUGCGAGACCUACAAGUCGAGCAGGGUCGAAAGACGGACUUAGUGAUCCGGUGGUUCCGCAUGGAAGGGCCAUCGCUCAACGGAUAAAAGCUACCCCGGGGAUAACAGGCUUAUCUCCCCCAAGAGUUCACAUCGACGGGGAGGUUUGGCACCUCGAUGUCGGCUCAUCGCAUCCUGGGGCUGUAGUCGGUCCCAAGGGUUGGGCUGUUCGCCCAUUAAAGCGGUACGCGAGCUGGGUUCAGAACGUCGUGAGACAGUUCGGUCCCUAUCCGUCGUGGGCGUAGGAAAUUUGAGAGGAGCUGUCCUUAGUACGAGAGGACCGGGAUGGACAUACCUCUGGUGUACCAGUUGUCGUGCCAACGGCAUAGCUGGGUAGCUAUGUGUGGACGGGAUAAGUGCUGAAAGCAUCUAAGCAUGAAGCCCCCCUCAAGAUGAGAUUUCCCAACUUCGGUUAUAAGAUCCCUCAAAGAUGAUGAGGUUAAUAGGUUCGAGGUGGAAGCAUGGUGACAUGUGGAGCUGACGAAUACUAAUCGAUCGAAGACUUAAUCAAAA
rnacentral:rRNA from 1 species